UGUCAAUAAGCCACACGCAAAGGUUGGGUC
rnacentral:piRNA from 2 species